rnacentral:rRNA from 1 species
GACGUAGGGCGCGAGCGUUGUCCGGAUUUAUUGGGCGUAAAGAGCUCGUAGGCGGCUUGUCGCGUCGUCCGUGAAAACCUGCAGCUCAACUGCAGGCUUGCGGUCGAUACGGGCAGGCUGGAGUUCGGUAGGGGAGACUGGAAUUCCUGGUGUAGCGGUGAAAUGCGCAGAUAUCAGGAGGAACACCGGUGGCGAAGGCGGAUCUCUGGGCCUGUCCUGACGCUGAGGCGCGAAAGCUAGGGGAGCGAACAGG